rnacentral:misc_RNA from 1 species
GUCAGAAGGACCACCCUAAGUCCAGAAAUCAAAGCAUAUAUCAGAUUUUAGCUAAAUGGAGCUAAGGGUUGGAGCACCAAGCAUCUAAACCAGUAUGCAAACAAACAGAACAAAUGUAACACGAGAUCAAUUAAAAGAGCAGGAAAGCACCAAGUUCAAAUGUGAACUUGAUCAGAACAUCAAUGUACUAUCAAAUAGAUUUUUU